UCGUUCGUUGCCGUUUAUGCAUAUUUCCGUAAACACCACAUAUUAGACUACGAAACCGGCCGGUCUUAUACCGCCGUGACCUUUCGUUUAUUUCGCUCUGCCAAUUAUUUACGUAACAAAUGGUCCGACGAUCCUGAGAAGCCACCUGUCGGUUACUACAGUCGCGUGCGACCGGUAUUUACGGCAUCGUUAUUCCGUUACCUGACCACCCGGCCGCCUUACGUUUCGUCUACGGAAGCCGUUUUCCCGCGUUCACAGUUCUACGAUGGAUCAAGCGCAACACCGUAUUGGCGUUGAUCCCAACGGCCGUCAGGCACCAGUUUACAGGUACACCGGUCUGAACCCAUCGACUUUGGGCAACCGGUACGUACUUGACCAUUUCUGUCACGUGAGUGUUGCUAAUGAGCUUCACCCUCUUGCCAAUCGUCAAACAGUUUUGACAACUGUAAUUUCGGAAGUACCUAGUGCACGCGCGGUUUCGUUCGCCCGAUUGGAGGUGUUAAAACGUUAUCUUGAACCAUUUCUGGAUUCCAAUGAAAUCGAGCGUAUAACAACCGUAAACAAAACUUUUCUUGACGAUCUUCGUCUUGCGGAAUUUACAAGUUGCAUAAGUGCCCUUUCCAAAAUUGAUACAGAUAUACCGCUCAAGCCGUUCUUUCCCUCGCUGUACUUGGCUAAGCUAGCCGUAGGAAAUUACGGAUUAACACGCGGUUUUCCUGCACCUUUCGCAUGCAGAUGCGCAACGACACAACUUGAUAUGACGACGCCUUCGUUGACCUUUCAGUGUAACACUGACCCGGGCCGGUGCGAUGCCCAGACCAUUAAUUACUCCGAGCUCAAUGCACCGAUCGUGAGGUGUAGCAAUCGGGCUCAACGUUACGGUCUUUAUUUAUAUAAUAAGCUUGUUCCAGACUUCUUCUGUCUGGAAUGCUUUUAUAAAGCCACCAACCACGAGUUGUUUACCGACGGCUACUUUCAGCAUCCUAACGAUUUGACCGUUAAAACUUGUCAGGCAGGGCACCGUACACAAGAACCCAACCAUUGUGAUCAGUGUAGUACGACCAGAAUUUACCAUCGACAUCUUGGGUAUCCUCCCGGUCAAAUCUCUUAUGAGCACGCGCAACGGGAUUUCAAUAACAGAAUAGCUCACGAUUUUGCGCAUUCGUUUUUUAUCGUUGAGGAAAAUUCUUACGCAGACCCAACUGAUCAGGUCUGUGUAGUACUCCGCUAUGCCAAAACAACGCAUCCUGAUUCUGCGCCACUGACAAAAAGGCUCUGGGCAUGGCUUUUACGGCAAAACCUUGGUGAAGUUGCCGACACUUACGAAACCUAUCGCCGAAAUUUUCACUACCAUCCGCUGAUAUAUCAGUUUCUAACAUUGAUCCCCCACAAUGAUGAAUCCAGGGCAAUAGCUUUUAAAGCAUUGAUGCCGUUUUUACCAAUCCAUAGCUCUCCUAAUGUUGGCAUUUUUCCGACUUCGUCCAGGGAGCACGCCUGUCAUGUCGCGUACCAUGAUACGGAUAUCAGUUUUGACUGCAAAUGCUUUACGAACAAUGCCCUCCGGGCGAUCGGUCAGGACUUCGUACUCCUUAACAGGGAUCGAGAAGACGCAAUGGUUAUUUCAUCUAGAACGACAGACGUUUUUAACAUUCGUCUUUGUGAAACGCGGAAAAAUAACGGAAGGUGUAAUAAACCAACAGAUGCCCGCGUCCUGUACCAGAAAGGUCGUCCCGUCUUCCUUUGUACCCAAUGUCUCAUAGCCGUCUACCGCCACCGAAUGUGCGUUUGCGGUACGGAAGUGGUAUUGGUAGAAUGCACUCCGCCGAUGAUGGAGUGUAUUCGCGGCCACAAAUAUCACGCAGAAUGCGCUGUCAGCGACAUAUGUCCUCAUUGCGCACAUUUGUUUCCGAUGACGGAAAACGCUUCUACUGCGAGGAAGGACUCUGACAGUCCACCUCCUCUGGAAGCAUAUUCUGAUUCCGACGCGGAAUCUACCGUAACUGUGAAUUUGGACGAAGAACCAUCGAGAAAGGGACUUACGGUUCACAACCCCGCAUACGCUCCGGCUAAACCAGGAAAUCGGGAAGGUCUUACGAGCGAUGACUCAGGACCAGAAAACGAGGCACCGCCGCCUCCAGUUCCUGCAAAACGCAUGCGCGCUGGUCUACCCAGCUUUGUGACACUUUCCGUCCUUCUUUACUCUGUACCUUGUCGGGUACUUCCGGACUGAACACUACGCUAUGCGACUGCUCACGGAGUAAAUACGUGGGAAUCGCUGACCUUUCUGCGCGAAUCCGGUGCGAGCAGUUAGACGGCCCCAUCAGAGAAACUCAUGACGUGAAGUACUAUCUUCUCGACUAUAAGAACAUUACUCGAGUUUUCUCCGGCUCCGCUUGUCGGAUGGUUAUGAAAACCACGAUACAAGAAGGUUUUUUCUUCGGCGGCUAUAACAGCCAGAAUUUUGAGGUCGCACUCCCGGUAACCGCUGAUCAGUGCCGUGACAUGGUCAGAACAAAGACAUGCAGUAGAAACGCCAUGACCAAAAGUGGACGUACUUGGGUAUACGACGCAAUGCCUGUGGUUGACCGCCGGUGGAACCAAUACCGCCGGGCCGACGUCAUUACCUGUCUCUUAGAGAACGUGACCCUCGAAACCACGUGUGACGACUGUCCAGUACUGUCCGCCACUGGCGAAAUUUCUUCGUCUAUUCUCUCCGAGUCCAGUGUCCAUCCACACGUAACUUACGUGUGGACUACCGACAAAAACCAUACGAAGUGUCGUGCUAACACGGUUCUUGACAGCGAGGGGGCAGUUGUUCCAAUUAAAAUCAGGAGAGAUCCACAUUCGGGACCAUUUACAUCAACUCAGCUUUACGGUUGAAGAAAAAAUGGAACGAACAUGCGAUGAAGGCGCAUCUGUUCAUUAUGUCCGCUCCCAUCCGACACUUCGCAUAAAAUUUUACCACGCUUGGUAUCGUCCUAACGUCACUGAGAGAAUCCGCCCUCCGGCUCGUCCCCCCUGUUGGCAUCCAAAGUCGGUUGAAUGCAAAUCUUUCGGCAGAAAUUACCACCUUACUAUCGUCCCACCUUCAGUACGUUGAGGAUUUCUUCGCGUUUCAAGAAAUGAAAAUCCUCAAUCACCUGCACAAGUUGCAAUGCCAGGCCGACAGAACGGAAAUGGAAAGUCUGAUUCUACUUAGCCAGUUUUCCCUGUGGUCGUCGGAGGCAAACUAGGUUUUCCCAAAUGUCAGGCUGCCGUAGUUCUUGGAGAUUCGGCGACUAUCUACCAGUGCACGGAAGUCAAUGUUACCAUCGGAGUCAAGUACUCUACAUGCGGACCAGAUCCGUACAUCGCGGCCGAAAACGACGAUCGCGGAUACACGAUCGCCCUCGACGGCGAGACCCUCAAAAGGCACUCAGUUUGCCUCCAUCGGCACUCCGUGGUAAUUAUACACGGAACUCUCUACCGCUACCAAGACGGUGCCUGGACUCCUGUAAACCCUACGUUCCAUAAAACGCUUGCACAUUGGCAUUAUACUGCCAAAUUCCUGACGGAUAACUUGGAAGACACUCUCGGUGACUCCUUGUCAAUGGAUCCUUUUCGGUUUCUCGACUUAACAGCCGAGUUAUCCGGCCUGAUGUUGGAGACCGGUAUUUCAAAUUUGAGUACCAUAAUUACUCCAAAAUAUGUUCAAAGUACAAUGAAGUCCAUGACAUGGCAUAGUCUCUUAAAUAUUUCGCUUACUUCGAUAACCGUUUUCAUUGCUGUGGUAUUUUGCGUUCGGUAUUACCGAACGGUAAUCGCGUUUCUCAGCUGUCUUCUAGAUUGUUGCCGCCCGCGUUCGCGCCGGCAGUAUGAUUUUCAGCCUCGACGGCAGGGAACGAUUGCGCUCACUGCGACCGCUACGGAAACCCCCAAUCGGAACCCGUCCCGGGACGUACCCACACGGACGGUGGAUAUUCCCAUGACGCCGCGUUACCGUCCUUUGGACACCGUCCGACAGGAUCCCGUCUACGCCAAUGCGUGUACGACCGCUGAGGACUCGGAUGGAUCAACAAUCGGCGCCAGGACUCCCUCCCCGGAGCACACGGUCGGAACACGGAUGGAACCGACGGUGACCUUUGGGAAUGCGUUGAUGGAACAGCGCCGGAAGUUGGCACCGGUUCGGUACGGAACUCCACCGACCGUGAGCAGCGUAUAACCGCUUAGCAUUAGCCUUAUUUUCCCGCUCAUGUAAAGUCAGCCAGCAAAUUAAUUAAAAUUUCUUAAAAAAUUUCUAUUGCAAAAUUUCAAAAAUAUUGUAUUUUAUGCGAUUUUUGUUUUUAUAUUUUGCUAAGACAAUUCAAAUCAAGUCAGGUUCUCGCUUGUAUUUCGUCAAAUUUAACAUGGUCAGGUUUUACCUAAAUUUUUCAGUAAAAAGCAUCGCUUUAUUUUUUGUGGAAAAUUUAUCAAAAAUAUUGGUCAGGAAAUUUCCUUCGAGAAUUGUCAAAUUUUCGUUUGAAUUUCAAAAAAAAAAGUUCUUGGAGAUAAACCCGUUUCUAUCCCCGGGAACCCAGUAAUUUUAAGGUUCGCUCCAGCGAACCCAGUUAUAUACGGUUCGCUACCCGAAGCUUUAGGUCGCCGAUUUUUAUCAGUCAUUACCGCCUCACAACGAACAGUGCGUGAUCAGAUUAAACGACCUGCAUUACAACCAUGGGUAGCGCAUGGUGUUUGUGUGAAUAGACUGUGAUCGAAAUUUUCUGGGGCAAAAUUAGAUAUUGGAAUUUAAAAAAAAAUAUAGUUAACGGAUAAGCUGGUGCAGCAGUUUGUUUGCACAGUGUCUACGCGAAUGAAGAAUCGCUCACAUGCUUCGAAAUUACCUCAACUAACGCAGUCUAGAAUCGAUGUACAAAAACCUGUCUGAAACAGCAAUACCAUCUGCUGUGAAAUCUCUGCAGAAAACUUGUCCGCAACAGCAAAAAAAAUUUUUGCUGUAAUGCCUCUGACCAAAACCCGUCAGCAACAGCAUUGAAAAUUGCUGAGAAAAAAAAACAGAACAGAAUUUCGUACGAGAUCGCACACGCGCGACUCGACUGCAGCAGACGAAAAAAAAUUUUUACCAGCCAGACACGAGUUUAGCAUCGUAGACUGAAUGCACUAAAGCUGCAUUAAAAAAAAAGGGAAAAAGAGGCGUGUGUUUAGACAAGCGAAUGAAUAAUGUUUGAAACCAGCGACUUAAUAUUUAUAAAUUGUACUGUGUCGAUUUUGCCUCAGGAAAUGAAAUGUCUGUUUAUUUGCGUAAAUACGGUGUGGUGUUAUGGUUUUGGUGUACGGUUAACCGCUGAUCAAAGUUCAAGUUCAAGAGCGAUCGAAAGAUAUCAUCGACUGAACCGCAUUUAUUAUAAAAUGAGUCAGAGAAUUUAAAAUCCAAAACAUUUAUAAAAUGAAAAUUCGGUUCAAUCCGGUUUUCCUAAAAGCGUUCCAAAAAAUAAAAUUCAGAUUAUUCCGCUAUAUUACCUGUAUUUCUUCUAACCGUAUAAAGUAUAACUAUUACUUGCAUAUUAUUAUUUGCUAUUUCAUGAAUGUGUUUCGAAAAUUUUAAAAUGCAAAAACAGCUGCUUUAUCGUACUGCUGGUUGACUGGCUUUUCUGCUUUUUUUAUAUUAGUUAUGGACUGCGGACAGUCCUUUUUUCAUGGAGAGAAGUUUUACAUGUACUUUGUCCUGAUGCUCGGCUCGCUACUUUUCCCUUGCCCAAUGCCUGAAUCACUUAGUAUGUGACGAUUCUCAUGAAAUGCGCUUUCUGAUUGUUAAGGGCGAUAUGCCCGUACAUGCCGUUAUCUGAUAUACCGUUCCACUUGUUGCUCUUUUAUACCGAUGUUUUUGCGCUUUUCUACGACAGUCACAGCCGUGCAGCCUAAUUUCCUUCAAUAACAAUUCCUGACUCGCAAUUGCCGUCUCGUUCGUUGCCGUUUAUGCAUAUUUCCGUAAACACCACAUAUUAGACUACGAAACCGGCCGGUCUUACACCGCCGUGACCUUUUCCGUUUAUUUCGCUCUGCCAUAAAUUAUGUAACACUAGGUUUUCAAUCUGGUUUCCCAGUUGGUACGUGAACAGUGAAGAUGAAGGAUAUGGCGCAGCUGGAUCGGUGGCGCAGCGGGAAAUUGUUAUUAUUGGUGGAUGUCCAGCGUGCCGUGUUGGGGUGCUCGAUGCUGUAUACCGACCCGCCGUUGCUCAAACUGUGGUGCCGUAUAUGGGUGACUGGCGUUCGCGAGAAUGCAAUCGAGAUGCGUUUGGACGUUGAGGAGAAUGUUCUCUGCAGACUAUGUGUUUUGAUUCGUUCCGAGCAUAUUUUUCUGAUUAUCCGAAUUGGUUUCUGACAUGUGGUUGCUCGAAAACAAAUUUUAUACCGGCCGUUUUACACAAUUAGUGAUUCUAGAUUUGUUUAAUAUUAAUUUUUGGGCUUUCACAGAUCAGUAGCUCGUUGUCUAAACCGCUGACCUGGUCCGCUUAUUUUUCUGUGUUUUUAAUUGUAGUCUUAAGGUUUAGGGUGGUUGCAUUUCGGCUGUCCAACAAAACACUC